rnacentral:rRNA from 1 species
GACAGAGGUGCCGAGCGUUAGGCGGAAUCACUGGGCUUAAAGCGUGUGUAGGCGGGUCGUUAAGUGCCUUGUGAAAUCCCACGGCUCAACCGUGGAACUGCUUGGUAUACUGCUUAUCUUGGGUGCAUCUAGGGGCGAGCGGAACAAACGGUGGAGCGGUGAAAUGCGUAGAUAUCGUUUGGAACGCCAAUGGUGAAAACAGCUCGCUGGGAGUGUACCGACGCUGAGACACGAAAGCCAGGGGAGGCGAACAGG